CAUGCAGGAGAACUAUGAAAAUGUGACCUCGCUGGGGUUUCCCGUUUCCAAACCUCAUCUAAUCUCCCAGCUGGGACAAGGGGAUGAGCCAUGGGUCCCAGACCUCCAGGGUUCAGAGGAAAGAGAGAUCCUGAGAGUUCCCUGCACAGCAGGUGACGCAAUGGUAGGUGAGAAAGAGGAGCAGAAUUCUCAGCAGGAAAAUGUUGAGCAAGUGGAUAAACACAGGGAAUUAUCGCAAAGAUCAAAAAGAAAUGUGUCGAAGAGUCAUGAGCAGGGAAAAUCAUGCGAGACUCAGCACACACCAGAAAGAGAGCAGGGAAACCAGCCAGGAGAGAAAAUGGGUAAAUUUAUUUCCUGUCGGGGAACUCAGAAGAGCGUCAAGGAAAC